AUGACAAACACAAAAAGAAAGAAGAAGGACACCCAUUGUAUGCUCUCUAGGCAUUUUAGAAAACUUGGAAUUUUUCCUUUGGCCAUAUACCUAUGAGUCUACAAGAAAGGAAAUAUUGUAUACAUCAAGGGAAUGAGCACUGAUCAGAAAGAAAUGCCCGCAGAUGUUACCGUGACAAAACUAGAAGAGUCUACAAUGUUACCCAGGAUGCUGUUGUCAUCUUGGUAAAUAAGCAAGUUAAAGCCAAGAUUCUUGCAAAGAGAACUAAUGUAGGUAUUGGGUGUAUUAAGCACUCUAAGAGCUAAGAUAGUUUUCUAAAAUCUGUGAGGGAAAAUCAGAAAAAGAAGGAAGCCAAAUAGAAAGGUACCUAGGUUCACCUGAAGAAUCAGCCUGCUCCACCCUGAGAAACACACUUUGAGAACCAGUCGAAAGAGGCUUAAGCUGUUGGAACCUAUUCUCUAUGAAUUCAUGCCAUAA
rnacentral:lncRNA from 1 species